ACAUCGUAACCAGAGACCAGGUAGCUUUCAUCAGGAAGAGGCAACGAUAAUUGACAUCCCAAAAUGCGGCAUCGUAAUCAACAACCAGGCUUCGUUCAUCCGGCAGUGAUAGAUGUCCACCCUCGGUGGCCACAAGCUGUCAUUGGCGACAAGGUUAAUCUGGUGUUACAUCCUUAAAUGCGGUGUGGGGACAUGUUACCUUCUACAACACCUGCCAGUUACGCCGCUUCAUGUGCAGGAAUUGACAACCUCUGAUACACUCGAUAUCAAUAUAUCUUAUCCAUAAACUAUUCAAAACAUUCUAUCAAUCUUGACAACUGGCAUUUUCCAAAGAUGCCAACUUAACAUGUUGGAAUUAUCAGGAUCUGCUUUGUAUGUUUCAAACUUGGUACAACGUCCUGCUUUUGACACUAUCGUCCUCCUACAAGUCCCGGAUGUUGUCCAUGGGUACCUCCUGAUGACUCGGCAGCUCUGAGGUGUUAAGGGGUGUUUCAUAUUUCAUGGCUCACAUUUCUACCUGAAACACCCGCUAACACCUUCUAGUUGAACGAUGACUCGGUCGCAUUCACAAACAUUUUCUCGGGUAAUUUGUAUUUGGACAACGUCAGUCAGGGUUUUAAU